ensembl:lncRNA
AUGGUGCAGGACCCAGCGCUAUCGGCAGGGAAGGCGUCGCUGGCACUGAGGCAGAGGCCGAACCCCACACGGCAGGGAUGGAGGCUGGCUCCGGGGUGGCUUUCGGGGAGGUUGCUCAGCCUCCGAGCCCCCACCCGUGGCCGUCCCCGUGUCGUGAGUGGGAGGGUCCGGGCAGGCUCGCUGCUGUCCUUGGCCGCGAUGCUGGCCCGGCCCCGGCAUUGCAGCAAUGCCUGGGGGAGGCCUUGGCCUCGGUGGGAUCUGUGGGAUGCCGGCCUCACCCCUCCUCCUCCGGAGCCUCCCGGCCUCCGCAGACCAAGCUGGAAACAAACGAGACUUCAGGGGGACGCGGGAGGACGAGGGGAGUCCCGCCGGAGAGCUGGGACUCGGUGGGGCUGGACGGAUCCAGCCCCCCAAGCGAGCACGGACACGGCGCCUGCCUGCGCCCCCCUCCCAGCCAGGGCAGAACCGGGAUGGAAACUUCUCAGCCGCGCGUCGCGAGCUUUGGGGCGGCUUGCUGGAAAAUUCAGAGGGGAAUUUACGUGCGCGCGAACCCCCUCGCCUCGUGCAAAUCGUGAAAAAUGCAAAAAUGCCUCAUCAAAACGCUCGGCGAUGAGAAACGCUGCAGCCCUCCCGCCACCGAGGUGGUGACAGCAGGUUCCUGCCGCUUGCUGUCCCCCUUGCUGCCCUGCAAGAUGCCACUUCUCCUCCUAACUACGCCCAAAAUGAUGUUUUUCAGCCCAUCGCAGCUGUGUGGUCUUUGAUGGGGCUCAGCAGAAAGCGGUCCCCAGAUUGUGACUUUUUGGUGGCUCGGUGCUAAGGAAACCCUCCCCGUGCGCCCUGGGUGGGUGACGGCUCUCCAAGACCUUCCCCCACCCAACAGCGGGAUGCGGCACCCAGAGAGCGCAGCACCUCGGGGUGCAACCCUGCAUGGUGGGAUGGAAAAGCUGCCUUCAAAUACCCCCCCUGAAACACAAACCUAAAUAACUGGGUGCUGCGAGAGAGCCCUGGGCACGGCUCGGCACGGAAACGCGGCGUCCCCAGCCCGGGCGGAGCCCCCCCACGCACGCUGCAGCCCGCGGCCCAGGAUAGCAGCCGCCUACGAACAGGAAACCCUCUGCACUUUCGCCUGCGUGGGGGCCCGGGGAAUCUCCUCUGAAUGGAAAGAAACGGCACCCCCGUGCCCCGGGGCCGUCUGGGUGCCCCCGCCUGGGCGGGGAGCUCUGCGGGGGUGCGCGGAAGGGCUGGGGGGGGGGGGGGUGUUCCCCCGCCACGAUGCCUGGGUGGAGGGUGCAGCCGACUGGCAUCGCUUUGGGGUAGGAGAAGGGGACGGGGAGCUCUUCCUGGCAAGAUCCUGCUCUGGGGAUGUCAGAGGGACCUGGGGAAUGGGGAUGGGGCAGGGAGGAGGGCGAGGAAGGGGGAUGGAGGGACGGAUGGCCAUAGUGCAGCCAUCACGGGACAGAAGGGACGGGGUCAGGAGCUGUGUCCGUGGGUGCCAGCUGGAGCUGGGUGUGUCCCUGGGGAGCAUGAGACCACUGGGACAAGGCUGGACCAGCUCUGCAUGUGUCCCUGCUGCCCUGGAGCAUCAGCUUGGGUGGGGGGCUUGGGGAGACAUCGACGGAUGGGAAACCUCCUUCCUUUGCUGCUCCCG